rnacentral:tRNA from 1 species
GUUUCCGUAGUGUACGUAGUGGUUAUCACGUCCGCUUUACACGCGGAAGGUCGCAGGUUCAAGUCCUGCCGGAAACA